ACGUGACGCGCCCUCCAGUAAUGGCGUCCUACUGCUCUGCGGGGUUUGUAACAAGAUCAGGACUGGCCAGUGUCCUUCGACGAGUGUGCAAUUUCGACCUGUGUGGAUCCCCCAGGGCACGACUGUGUCACCCAUAUCGCCGCUUCUUCUGGAAGAAGUGGUCAAAAUCCCACUCACAAAAUGUUGUCCGUCCCGCUACUGUUAGGCCUGCCUAUGCUGUACCAAAGCACAUUGAACGCCCGGAUUACGUCAGUACUGGACUGAUCCCCGAAUGGCCUGACUAUAUCGAAAUAAAGAAUGCAGAGCAAAUCGAAGGCCUCGCCAGAGCAUGCCAGGUAGCUCGACAUGUCCUGCUACUAGCGGGGCAAAGUCUGAAAGUUGGUAUGACUACAGAUGAAAUAGACUUUAUUGUACAUCAGGAGAGUAUCCAGCAUAACGCCUACCCCUCCCCUCUCAGAUACGGAGGUUUCCCAAAAUCGGUUUGUACUUCAGUGAACAACGUGGUGUGUCAUGGCAUACCUGACAGUCGGCCACUUCAAGAGGGCGACAUUAUCAACAUUGACGUGACUGUGUAUUUGGACGGUUACCACGGUGACACGUCGGAAACCUUCUUUGUCGGUGAGGUGGAUGAGCUCGGGCGGCGACUGGUGGAAACGGCAAGGCAUUGCAGGGAUGACGCCAUCGCCGCCUGUAAGCCGGGUGCGCAGCUUUGCGUUAUCGGGAACACUAUUAGUGAAAUAGCUCAUGCUAAUGGAUUCCAAGUGUGUCCCUAUUUCAUCGGACAUGGAAUCGGCUCCUACUUUCAUGGCCAUCCUGAGAUCUGGCACCACGCAAAUGACAAUGACAUGACCAUGGAUGAAGGCAUGACUUUCACAGUAGAACCCAUACUAAUGGAAGGGUCUGCAGAGUUUAAAAUCCUGAAAGACAAGUGGACAGCGGUGUCUGUAGACAAUAAAAGAUCGGCUCAGUUUGAACACACUGUAGUUAUCACAUCUGACGGAGUGGAAAUUCUCACCAAAUUGCCAGAAGAGGACAAUCAUUGACCUGUCGAGAUCGAAGUGUGAACCUCACCUGUUCGACACCGUUUACUUGGACAAAAAGAAACUUACUUGAACUGUGAGGCAUCAGGACCCCCACCCCCCGAGACCCUCAGCAGCGUGACCUCAUACACUUUGAGGCCAGUUUGUAAUACCAAUCGCUUACCACGAUGUGAACAUAAUUUUUUUUUUUUUUUAAAUAAAAUCUUUAACUUUAUUUAUUUGAUUCUUAGUUUGUCUGUAACAUGCAUCAUACUUUGAAUCUUAUUCCAUUUGUUACAUCUGCCUAAUGUGGCUGCUUCAAUGAGUUACAGGUUAAAAAUACAUUUUGGUUUAUUGACCGAUUGCAUGAUUUCUUUUGCAACUUGAAUUAUUUGUUCUGUGCUUUCAUUUCACAGUAGGAAAAAAGGAAACAUUUUGAUGUUCUAAAACUUUUGACUAGUAGUGUACAUUAGCUGAGUUGCGCUUCUCUAACUUCUGGCCAUGCCUUUGUAGGUUAACAAAUGCAUCGUUUUCCACUUUACAUUUUUAUUUACACCACUGAUUCAUAAGUAAGUUACACUUAAUUAACUCUAAGGGGAGCACUCUAGCAAAAAAACAAAACAAAAACAACAACUAUUGUUCCUUGUUAUUACUACUUACUUUUUUUUUAUACACAAUGAAAUACUUCUACUCUGUAUGUACAAUAUGUUGAUGAAGUAAUGCUGGAAUAAAUUUGAGUAUCGGUUCCCCUUUGCAGCUCUGACAGAAUCUUCUCAUUUGGGAUGUCUUUGCUCCAAGAUUGAGUGACUGGAAAUCAUCGGUUCAUCCCAAAGAACUUUUCAGACGUCACUGAUGUUGAGAUAAUGAACAGCUCCCUCACAAUCUCAGCUCUUGUGCAAUUUAAUGAAAAAAAAGAUGUUUGAGGUUAGGCAAGUUGGAAGCAUAAGGUUGUCCAACAGAUGGCAGCAUACACUUAACUCGCUCCUUUUAUCACUUGCAUAUGUCAACAAGUCUUACCGACGAACAACUGUCCACCCCCACGGUGUGAUAUGGGCCUCCUUAACAAAGGCGUCUUCACAUCAUUUGAAGCCACAUUUUGCUUAGAGGUUUCAAUUCCACCCAUGUCAGUGGCAUUUGGCUGCUCUAUCGAGGAAAGUUGAGUUCAGCAAAAUGUGAUUAUACGCACUAGUUCAGUAUUAAGUUUGGCAAGAUCACACAAGGCUUUUUUUUGGUCAUAUGUUCUCAAAACCAAGAAUACAUAUGCAUCAAACACUUCAUUAGGUACACUUGGACAAAAUACAAUUCAAUAGAAGAACUAUCUGAAAAAUGUUUCUCAAAAAGAGCAUCAUGUUCAAGUUUGAUAUUUAACAUGUAUAUUAACGUAGUUGUACUUUGUCAUCCUGUAGAAGUGUUUAUUAUAUUAUUCAUGUGUUUAAUUCAUUGACUCUGACAAAGCCUAUGGUACUGUGGACAUUUUUGUUUUAUCCACAUUCUUUUGUGAAUUAUUAACUUAUUAGUUUGUUAUCAUUUGUCAUAAAUUUGAUUUAAGGUGGUGUAAGGCACUUCAGUGAGGAAAAAACAGCCCUGAGGUUGUAUGUUUUGUAACUUCCUGUUGAUGUACUUAAGGGGUGUGUGUGUGUGUGUGUGUGUGUGUGUGUGUGUGUGUGUGUGUGUGUGUGUGAGUGUGUGUGCUUGCCUUUGCCAGUGCUGUGGGUUGGGCAGGUAGGAUUUGACAAAUAAAGAUUUUCAGAUCCCAGAUGUUUGUAUGUGGGAGUGAAGCUGUGAUUUAUCGCACUUACCUGAGAUUCUGCUGAGGAGCACCACAGGAAUUCCAGGAUUCCACGUUAACCUCGG